rnacentral:rRNA from 1 species
CUACGGGAGGCAGCAGUCGAGAAUCAUCCGCAAUGGGCGAAAGCCUGACGGUGCGAUGCCGCGUGAGGGAUGACGGCCUUCGGGUUGUAAACCUCUGUCAGAAGGGACGAAGAAGUGACGGUACCUUCAGAGGAAGCCACGGCUAACUACGUGCCAGCAGCCGCGGUGAAUACGUAGGUGGCGAGCGUUAUUCGGAUUUACUGGGCGUAAAGGGUCCGUAGGGGGUUUGUCAAGUCUGAUGUGAAAUCCUGAGGCUCAACCUUGGAACUGCAUUGGAUACUGGCGAACUUGAGUCUGCGAGGGGUAAGCGGAAUUCCUGGUGUAGCGGUGGAAUGCGUAGAUAUCAGGAAGAACACCGAUGGCGAAGGCGGCUUACUGGCGCAGUACUGACCCUGAUGGACGAAAGCGUGGGUAGCGAACAGGAUUAGAUACCCGCGUAGUC